UACGUAGGGUGCGAGCGUUGUCCGGAUUUAUUGGGCGUUAAAGAGCUCGUUAGGCGGUUUGUCGCGUCGGCCGUGAAAUCUCCACGCUUAACGUGGAGCGUGCGGUCGAUACGGGCAGACUUGAGUUCGGUAGGGGAGACUGGAAUUCCUGGUGUAGCGGUGAAAUGCGCAGAUAUCAGGAGGAACACCGGUGGCGAAGGCGGGUCUCUGGGCCGAUACUGACGCUGAGGAGCGAAAGCGUGGGGAGCGAACAGG
rnacentral:rRNA from 1 species